rnacentral:misc_RNA from 1 species
AACGCACCUUGCGCUCCUUGGUAUUCCGAGGAGCAUGCCUGUUUGAGUGUCAUUAAAUUCUCAUCCCCCCUUUGAAUUAAUUUUCUAAAGUGGGCUUGGAUUUUGGGGGUUUGCAGGUUGUUUAGACAGUCUGCUCUCCUUAAAAACAUUAGCGGAACCUUAUCUGUAGUCCGUUUUAUAGUGUGAUAAUUAUCUACGCUAUACAUGUGUAUUACAUCUUGUUCAGCUUCAAACAGUCCAUUGACUUGGACAAUCUCUUGACUAUUUUGACCUCAAAUCAGGUAGGACUACCCGCUGAACUUAA